GACAGAGGAUGCAAGCGUUAUCCGGAAUGAUUGGGCGUAAAGCGUCUGUAGGUGGCUUUUCAAGUCCGCCGUCAAAUCCCAGGGCUCAACCCUGGACAGGCGGUGGAAACUACCAAGCUGGAGUACGGUAGGGGCAGAGGGAAUUUCCGGUGGAGCGGUGAAAUGCGUAGAUAUCGCUUGGAACGCCAAAGGUGAAAACAGGUUGCUGGGGUUGUGCCGACGCUGAGACACGAAAGCCAGGGGAGCAAACGGG
rnacentral:rRNA from 1 species